AGCGGCGAACGGGUGAGUAACACGUGAGCAACCUGCCCCGAAGUCUGGAAUAACAUCGGGAAACCGGUGCUAAUACCGGAUCGCCCCACCUGACCGCAUGAUCGGGUGAGGAAAGAAUUUCGCUUCGGGAGGGGCUCGCGGCCUAUCAGCUGGUUGGUGGGGUAACGGCCCACCAAGGCGUCGACGGGUAGCUGGUCUGAGAGGACGACCAGCCACACUGGGACUGAGACACGGCCCAGACUCCUACGGGAGGCAGCAGUAGGGAAUCUUGCGCAAUGGGCGGAAGCCUGACGCAGCAACGCCGCGUGGGGGAUGACGGCCUUCGGGUUGUAAACCCCUUUCAGCAGGAACGAAAAUGACGGUACCUGCAGAAGAAGCCCCGGCCAACUACGUGCCAGCAGCCGCGGUAAUACGUAGGGGGCGAGCGUUGUCCGGAAUUAUUGGGCGUAAAGAGCUCGUAGGCGGCUUGGCAAGUCGGGUGUGAAAACUUCAGGCUCAACCUGGAGGUGCCAUCCGAGACUGCUAUGGCUAGAGUCCGGUAGGGGACCACGGAAUUCCUGGUGUAGCGGUGAAAUGCGCAGAUAUCAGGAGGAACACCGGUGGCGAAGGCGGUGGUCUGGGCCGGCACUGACGCUGAGGAGCGAAAGCGUGGGUAGCAAACAGGAUUAGAUACCCUGGUAGUCCACGCCGUAAACGUUG
rnacentral:rRNA from 1 species